GAGUAGUGGCGAGCGAAAGCGGAUGAGGCUAAACCGAUCAUGUGUGAUAGCCGGCGGGCGUUGCAUGGUCGGGGUUGUGGGACACGUCGCUCAGUUCUGCCGGACUGGGGCGGUUACAGCGCAUCAUAGUCGAACCGGUUUGAAAGCCGGGCCGUAGUGGGUGCCAGCCCCGUAGACGAAAUGGUGUUAUGGCCGGAUGUGUAUCCCAAGUAGCACGGGGCCCGAGAAAUCCCGUGUGAAUCUGUCAGGACCACCUGAUAAGCCUAAAUACUCCCAGAUGACCGAUAGCGGACAAGUACCGUGAGGGAAAGGUGAAAAGUACCCCGGGAGGGGAGUGAAAUAGUACCUGAAACCGUUUGCUUACAAACCGUCGGAGCCUCCUUGUAGGGGUGACGGCGUGCCUUUUGAAGAAUGAGCCUGCGAGUUAGUGAUAUGUGGCGAGGUUAACCCGUGUGGGGCAGCCGUAGCGAAAGCGAGUCUGAAUAGGGCGAUUCAGUCGCAUGUCCUAGACCCGAAGCGAAGUGAUCUAUCCAUGGCCAGGUUGAAGCGACGGUAAGACGUCGUGGAGGACCGAACCCACUUCAGUUGAAAAUGGAGGGGAUGAGCUGUGGAUAGGGG
rnacentral:rRNA from 1 species